rnacentral:sRNA from 1 species
UAAGGAUUACCGACAGGGUUUACAGUAA